rnacentral:snoRNA from 1 species
GGGAUGUGCUCAGAGCAGGUGGCCUGAGAAAUGGCUUCUCUGUUUACAACACAUGCAACAGGAAUUUAGUGUCAUUGUGACAAGGUGCACAAAACUUGUGACUUCCCUCUGAGCAAGUGUCCUAAACAA